AUUGACGCUGGCGGCAGGCCUAACACAUGCAAGUCGAGCGGCAGCGACUUAACUGAACCUUCGGGGAACGUUAAGGGCGGCGAGCGGCGGACGGGUGAGUAAUGCCUGGGAAUAUGCCCUGAUGUGGGGGAUAACUAUUGGAAACGAUAGCUAAUACCGCAUAAUCUCUUCGGAGCAAAGAGGGGGACCUUCGGGCCUCUCGCGUCAGGAUUAGCCCAGGUGGGAUUAGCUUGUUGGUGAGGUAAUGGCUCACCAAGGCAACGAUCCCUAGCUGGUCUGAGAGGAUGAUCAGCCACACUGGAACUGAGACACGGUCCAGACUCCUACGGGAGGCAGCAGUGGGGAAUAUUGCACAAUGGGGGAAACCCUGAUGCAGCCAUGCCGCGUGUGUGAAGAAGGCCUUCGGGUUGUAAAGCACUUUCAGUAGGGAGGAAGGUAGUGUAGUUAACACCUGCAUUAUUUGACGUUACCUACAGAAGAAGCACCGGCUAACUCCGUGCCAGCAGCCGCGGUAAUACGGAGGGUGCGAGCGUUAAUCGGAAUUACUGGGCGUAAAGCGCAUGCAGGCGGCCUGUUAAGUCAGAUGUGAAAGCCCGGGGCUUAACCUCGGAAUUGCAUUUGAAACUGGCAGGCUAGAGUCUUGUAGAGGGGGGUAGAAUUUCAGGUGUAGCGGUGAAAUGCGUAGAGAUCUGAAGGAAUACCAGUGGCGAAGGCGGCCCCCUGGACAAAGACUGACGCUCAGAUGCGAAAGCGUGGGGAGCAAACAGG
rnacentral:rRNA from 1 species